AUGUGAAAGAAAAAAAAAUGGAAUUUUUAAAAAUAGAAUAUAUUUUUUUGUUAUCAAUCUCUAGAUCCUUUUUUUAUAUUAUGGCCUUCAUCCUUGCAAAGACGUGCACAGUAUAUCCUGCCAGUGUCAAGCAGAUCUCUAGAUCCUUUUUUAUGUAAUAUAAAUUAUCUUUUCUGUCAUUGUCUGUUUGACGUUUAAUGAUAGUAUUUAAUGGAUUCACGUCAGAGAUAACGCAGUAUUUUUUGUUUAGAAAUAAAAUAUAUUAGAGGCAUGAAAUGUAUUUAAUAAAAUCUUUAGAAUUAUAUUAUUGAUGGCCUUACUUAAAAUGUUUACUCAGGAUAAUUAUUUACCUACUAUAUCAUAAGGUUUUCCUUAAACUGAGAUUCUAUUUACCAAAACUCAGAUAUAGAGAUUUUAGGAUUCUUUCUAAAUACAGAUUUAAAUCUAAUGUUGUCAAUAUAUCUUAAAAAAUCACAUAUAUAUUUUCUAUAUUACCAAUGUUGUAUGUGUGUUAGUUUGAUGUAAAAUUAAUACAAAUUAGUUUAAACAAGUUGUUAAAUUAUUUUACGACAUGUUUUAAAGUAAAUGAAUUUAUUAUGAAAGUUGUAUAAUUAAAUAUUUGUAGUAAUUUCUUUGGUAUAUUUUUGUAAUAUUUGUUCAUAUUAAUACUCAUAAUUAUUUAAUAAUAAUGAUUGUAAUCAUAGUUUACCUUCCAGCUACAGAGAUUUAUUCUUAGUUAUAAAACGUACAUGAUGCCUUAGAUUUGUUUCUAUUAAAAAAAUAUUCCUAAUACCCAUGAAUUAUUAUGUAAUAGGAAAGAUAUUUUAUAUGGUUUAAUAGCAUUAUACGUAUCUGUAUAUCGUAUAAAGUGGUGAAUAUCUCACCGCGGGAAAUCUUUAUUGCUUAUUGGAGGUUAUACUUUCUCGAAGACCAGACCUUUGGGUCUGUUCCAAGAGGUCGCCGGUUUGCAAAAGUGAAUCUAAAGGGUGGCAUGAUCACAGAGAUCAACAAUCACCACUCGCCUCCUCUACGGAUGUAUGUCAGAACGCGAAAGAAAAACCUAAUUGAUCUAAACAAUUAAUUGUCAUGCUCAUUUCAUUUCAUAAAGCAAUAUAAAAGCAACAUCUCUUAUCGGUUUUUUUUUAUCAUACUAAAUUAAUAUAUUCUAAGUAAUAGAACAGAUGAUGAAGAGGAUCAUGUCAUCGAAGAAUCUCAAGUAAUUUAAAAGAUAAUUUUAAACAGCAAUACCCAGUUUUAUUUUGGUAAACCAGUACAUAUCGCCAAUGAAUUAAUAUAAUACCUCUGAAUGUCUGAUUUGUAGAUGAUCUUAAAUUCAUUGCGAUAAAUGGCAAUAAAAGGGUUCUGAUGGUCGGCGGUUAUACUUUCGCGAGGACAAGCAAACGACAUUAUUAUUGUUCCAAGAAGGCCAAAGGGUGUAAAGCAAGGGUCUAUCUGAAUACAGAUGAAACGGAGAUCAUCUACUUGGACAAUAACCACGGGCACCAACCACCCAUCUACGCUAAGAGCUCAAAUGGCUGCUACGUCAAAGUCAGUGGAUGAAACAAAAAUAUAUAUACGAAUUUAAUUUUAUCACGAUAGCUGGCAACAAACGUCUCCUGAUGGUCAAAGGUUAUACGUUUGCUAAAACCAAUAAACGACAUUGGUACUGCUCCAAGAAGGCGAAAGGCUGUAAAGCCAGGGUUUACUUCAACUCGGAUGAAACAGAGGUUGUGUUCUGUGAUAAUACACAUCAGCACAAGCCUCCGAUCUAUACACAGAGCUCUGAUGGCUUUUAUUUUAAGCUUAGUGGCUGAAUAAAAAAAAAACUGUUUUAAUAAUAUUUUCUUACGAAUUAAAUUUGUUGUUUCAGUAACACAUUGAAUAAAGUUUUAUUAUAUUUGUUUCAGUUGAUUCCAAUAAACUCAGAUUUACAUUGUUAAUCGCUAAGAAGUUAGUGUUUUUGCUUUUAAUAAUUUUUUUUUUUAUUAUUAUGUCUUGAUCCAAAAAACAUGAGUCACGAAGUUGUUAUUUGUUAUUAUUUAAAUUGUUAUUAACUAUCGUUUAAAAUAUUUCCUUAAUAAUAUAUCUGUUAGCGUGUUCAUAGAUAAGAACAUUUGAAUUAAAAAAUACUCCUCAUUUUAAUAUAAAUCUAUUGAGAAAAAUUAAAAAGAUUUUUUUAGUAAUGUUCAUUUUGUUUAAUAUUUUGCUAAGUAAUGAUUUUAAUGGAAAUUAAUUUUCAAGUCUGAUGUCAAAAUAUACUUGUUUAGGAAGUCACUCGUUUGCCUAAAACACGAUAACCUAAAUAUCACGUGUUUAACAAUAAUGGCAUUUUAUAAAAAAACAUUAUUUAGAUAUUUUCAUUGCAGGGACUCUCAGGAAUAUGAAUUAGCUAGCAUUUAAAUAAAUAUUUUGAAUCAUUCUAUCUUUAACGUUAUAUUUUCCAUAUUAAAUCUAUUCCUAAUAAUAAUCUUUCUUUCUUAAUUAUUUCUAUGGUCGUGGUGGCACCUAAACGAUUCGAAAAGCAGAUUGCUGUUUCUAUAUGCCUGUGCCUUAUAUGCCACAAAAUGCCACCAACAAUAAUUGACCUUUAUAUUUAAAAAAAAAUGUCAUUUAAAUAAAACUAAUAUUGUCGGAUUUACUACGCGUUUUCAGGAUGUAGUUAAAUAAUAAUAAACAGAAAAUAUUAGUUUUAUUUAAAUGAGAACUCGCGAAAGUCUUAGAUCUCAACAUCUUAUUUACUUACAAUUUUUUUUUUCAUUAACUUUUAUAGAUUACAAUCUUUUUGAUUCCUGAUAUCAAAUAAUUUCCUUUUUUACAAACAAUUUUCAAGUUUUUCAAUUCGAAUAAGAAUCGUGAUGUGACUUUCAGAAUCAUUUGAGAUCGUUCAAAAUUAUCGCACCAACGGGAUGUUGUUGAUUUACAACGGGCAUACCUUCUAUCACAUGCACAACAAAACCCGCUGGUAUUGUUCAAAGUGGCAUAAAGGUUGCAGGGUAAAGGUCACAGCUACAUCUAACGGGACAUUUCUGUCUUGUUUUGGCAAACAUGACCAUUUGCCCCCAAUUAUUGUUCGAACAUCAGAUGGGAGAGUUUAUCAUAGAUGUACUCGAAUUUGUUCCAAGUAAUCGAGGCAAAGGUACUACACUUAUUUAUAAAGGUUACACUUAUUCCCACAUGACCCAUAAGACUAGAUGGUAUUGUUCUAAAAAGGCAGCUGGUUGUAAAGCCCGACUUAUCACAACUAUUGAAGGAGAGCUGGUGAAGGUUCUCAUGGAUUUCCAUAACCAUCCACCCCCGCAAUUAUAUCGUACUGCAGACGGGCAAGUUUACAAAGUAUAACAAGUGCUAAAUUGAACACUUCUUUAUUUUCCAAUUAUUACUAUAUUACGUUCAAUAAACAAGUUAUCGUCUCUAA